AAGCAUGGUCUUCCUAACUCUUAUAUUUGUGGGUGUUUAUUUGUUCCUUGUUUUUCUCCUAGCAGCCCCAGUGACCUUGCAGAUGGUGGUCAUGAGUCCUGGCAGGAUCUGGAGGCCGAGGCUGAGCUGUCAUCAGUCCUGUGAUCCUUGGAGGAGGGGAAAUGCCCCACAGAAGAUUGCCUUGGCCUCUGUGUGACACUGCUGUCUCCGGGAAUCACAAGCCACACUGCAGGAAGUAGGAAAAGGUGCCCUCUUGGGACACCGCAGCUGUCCUCAACCUGUGGACCCCUGGCCAUGAAUGUGACGAAUCCCAGGAAAGAUGACCAGAGCCAGUGUCCUGGAUCACGCAGCUGAGAAGCAGGCGGCUCAGGGACCAGGCUACAAUUCUAACUUCCUGUGACUGCAAGAUUUGAAUUCAAGUCUCCAUUUACCUCCACCUAGACAUAAUUUUACUGGGACUCAGUUUCCCCAGUUAUAAAAGGAAAGUUGCAGAAUUACAUGCUCUGCAGUUGCUGCCUAGUUUUGUUCAUCGACCACAACAACCUCCCGGGCCCCGGGAUACUUCUUAAGAAUAUUCAUUUCUGAAGCAGCAAGGUUAGCACAGGCCUAGAAUCCUAGCAUUUCAGGAGGCUGUGAGAGGAGGAUCAUAAACUCAAACCCAGUGUAGGUGAUUGAAAGAAAGCUUGUGUCAAAAUUGAAAAAAAGCUGAAGAUGAAACUCAAAGUGAAAGUCCUAGGUUUAAUCCCCAGUACUGAUUAAAAAAAAAAGUGGGGGAAUAGUUAUUUCUAACCUCACUCCAACCUGUAGGACCCCAGUUCCCGAUGAUGGGCUUGAGAUUUUGCUUCUGUCUGCUUAACCAACAGCCUAGGAGAUUCUUACCAUCAGAUAAGUUUCUGGCAUCUAAUCCUGUGGAACUUUUGUGCAAAGGAGGUUCCCAGAAGACAGAGAUCAAAAAGAAAGUCCAAGCAGGACUGUGGUGACUGUUUCAACAGUAACGAGAGUCCUUUCUCACCCCCUCCCCAUCUAACCAGCGAGCCCCAGUGUUUCCUGGAUGUCAUUGUGAGCCCCAGUUUGUUUUCCCUGUGCCUCUGUCCCACCGCAGUCCAUCAGGGUUUCCUCUUCCUACUUGGGUUCUCUUAGUCCUCAGUUCCAGGUUUCAGGAAAAUGCACACCUUGCUGCAGUGGGAAAGAGGGGACCCGGGGCACCCAGGAAGAGACACAGAGCUUCCGCCUGACCUGGCUGUGCAGCCUCCAGGGGAACUGCCCACAGGCUCAGGCCUCGGAACCCCCAACCCUGCCUUGCGGGGUUUUAUGGAUGCUCUGUUGCCACAUGCAUGAUCAGAGCAAGGACAAGUAUGUAGAAAUCUGAGUGGAUAAACAGGGUUAUCUGAUCUUGCAGACGGUCUGGGGAAAGCCAGACCGGCCUGUCCAGAGUCCUCUGAGGCCCUGGUGCAGCACCCUUCCUCCUGGGCAGGGGCAGAGCUUGCUGGACUACUAUCAGCUAUCUGCCAAGACAGCUUACAGAAUCUUCACCACCAGCUCCAAGGCAGACAGUCAGGGAAGAUCAGAGUUUUAUGGCUUGUACUGGGGAAGAGCAAUUCUGGUUCCUGCAGUCUGCCUCAGGGAAGGAACUGUGAGCCAGAAAUCAUAGUGGAAGCCAAACUAUGAGUAUCAUGUAUCAAGCCUUCUGCUAAAGAACGCAUGGGCAGGCUUUUAAAAAAAUGUUUUACUUUAAAGAGAACAAAACAAACAAGAACAGAACAAAGCAAAUCAGAACAAAACAAUGCAAACAACACAGUACCUUCACGACAAGACAACUGGAUAGCAACAGUAGCUACCAUAAUGUCUCUUUUCUUUGAAAUAGUUGAGCAUGGGCAGGCCUUUAAUAGAGAAACAUAAUCCUGCUGUGCUUUGCUUUAAAGAGCACAAAUGGAGGUUGGAGAUCUGCCCAGACCCUUCCCUCCCUCAACCAGGGUAGCCUGGAAGGCGAGAGCCCUGAGCUGAGGCAUCAGGAACUCACAGUAUUGUCUCCCAGCAACCUAUAAUCACAAAGGAUGGUGAAUGUUUAAA